CCUACGGGAGGCAGCAGUGGGGAAUAUUGGGCAAUGGGCGCAAGCCUGACCCAGCAAUGCCGCGUGAAGGAAGAAGGCUUUCCGGUUUUAAACUUCCUUUACAGGGGAAGAGCAGAAGACGGUACCCUGAAAACAAGCCACGGCUAACUACGUGACAGCAGCCGCGGUAAUACGUAGGUGGCAAGCGUUGUCCGGAUUUACUGGGUGUAAAGGGCGUGUAGCCGGGAAGGCAAGUCAGAUGUGAAAGCCGGAGGCUCAACCUCCGAAUUGCAUUUGAAACUGUUUUUCUUGAGUACUGGAGAGGCAGACGGAAUGCGUGGUGUAGCGGUGAAAUGCGUAGAUAUAAGGAGGAACACCAGUGGCGAAGGCAGUCUGCUGGACAGCAACUGACGGUGAGGCGCGAAAGCGUGGGGAGCAAACAGGAUUAGAUACCCCUGUAGUC
rnacentral:rRNA from 1 species